GGGAUUAUUCAGUCGGGAGGUCGCGGACGCAGAGUGUGGAAUGACCAGAAUGGUUCUCCGGACGGAGCCGUCCACGCCUUGCGCUUUCGUGCCACCCGACGCAUUUGUUUCCCGUCCAGAGGACGCCGCAACCGGUUGGAGAACGGCCUUAAGGGCAGACGAUGGCAGGUGGCCGGUGAUUUUUCCCUCGGGAGAGUCUGCCGGUUGUUAGCCGGUUUCUGUCGCACGGCUCGUGAUCCGACCGUGGUGUCGCGAGACCCCUCGUGGGUCUCUUCGCCUCCUCCUUUCGCGGGAAGCCGGGAAUUGGCGGCACGGUCCCUCCCCCCUGCGGGCGCACUGACUGACUCAGUGGCCCAGCUAUCGGGAGGUCCGGUUGGUAGCCUUUUACCCGUUGGAGUGUUGGCGGUUAGCGGCGAGUAGAUCGGUCACCCACCCGACCCGUCUUGAAACACGGACCAAGGAGUCUAACAUGUGUGCGAGUCAAUGGGUCUCGAAUAAGCCCAGAGGCGCAAUGAAAGCAAAGGCCGGACUUGACUUCGGCUGUGUUGGGAUCCUCCUCUUGUAAAAUGGGGGAGGCGCACCAACGACCCGUCCCAUCCGAUUUAUCGGUGGGGCGGAGUCUGAGCAUACACGUUGGUACCCGAAAGAUGGUGAGCUAUGCCCGGGCAGGACGAAGCCAGAGG
rnacentral:rRNA from 1 species